CUCCUCAUCUUCGCGAGUGAGCGUUACUUUAGAGGCUGUUUCCGUUUUCGCGGGGUAAAUUCACUUGUGGUGCAGGUGAACUCUUGGAAGGCAUACACAUCCUGUCGCUGCUGCUGCUGCUGCUGCCGCUGGGUGCUGCAAAGGGAAACAAGAAACCGACGAGGGCGAUCGUGAUCCCUGGAGAUCAAGACUAGAGGAAGGUGAACUUCAAUGAAGGCAAGGGAGGAAUCAUUCCAUUGCGUACGUACAACGACUCCAGAAGGAUUUAUGUAGCCACGAAUGAUGGUGAAAGAGAGAGAGAGAGAGAGAGAGAGAGAGAGAGAGUGAAUGGGAAGAUCUGUUGGAAACUCGUGGAAAGUGAAGAAAAACACCAGGCUCGCUUAAACCUCCGAUGCCUCCGACGCUACUAGAAUGCUACUCGGCUUUGGCCUGGUCCACUAGCCGGAUGAGGUGUGCGUGUGUGUGUGUGUGUGUGUGUAUGCCAUUGAGACGUGGUGUUGGCUGUUUUGUUUUUGUUUUUUGGAUACACAGCACACGUUAUUUAUAAAUAUCGUUGCAUGGAAAUCUGUUGGUGGGGGACCAUCGGGACCGGAAAAAGCUAUUCGAGGGUGCACACAUCCAAGAUGAGAUGUUCCAAAAGGAGUGCGAUGAAAUAUGGUACGGCAUGCAUGAUGUGCCGCCGAAGCCAUCCCGAGUCGUCUUCACCCCAAAACGGCGCACCCGGUCGUACGUCACACAGUCUUACAUCUCGGCUCAGCUCAGCAUUUUGCGGCUAGUUAGGUUGUAGUAAAGUAUGAUCAAAAAAAGAGGCUGGACGGUCGCUGAUGAAUGAACUGUAACUCCUUCCUCGAUUUGUGAAGUGCGCCCAACGUGGGGCUCGAACCCACGACCCUGAGAUUAAGAGUCUCAUGCUCUACCGACUGAGCUAGCCGGGCGAUGUGGACGACGGGGGUGAUGAUCGUGAUCGUUUGGUUUCGAUCUUUCUUCUAGGCAGUGAACAAGUGACCGAAGCAAUUACAGAAUGAUAAGAUUCGCUUGCUUACGAACACGGACCCAUCUCUGCUCAAACGCAGAUAAACAAAUGGUCGGUCAACAGUACGAUCUGCCCGAAUAUCAUGACCAUAUGGUCUCUCCUUGCUUUGGCACAUCGACUAGCACUCGCCACUGAAUCGCUGUGGACAGUGGGCGCAUCAUCAUCACCAUCAGCGCCGUGUAUGCGCCCUCGGCUUUGCCGCCCCCAAAAUGUCAACCAGUUUGCCAUACCCGAGGCAGCAACAUGUGCGACGUGUUAAAUAUUUCAUUGAACUCCUACAACACACAUCCUACCACAUCCUGUUACCGAGGGUUCGAGAAACGUCCGGGGCCGGGUUUGAAACUUCAUUCACUUUUCACGCGCGCGUUGCCUGGUAAACAGCCUGGUCCCCCGGUAAACAUUCAUAAUGGGCUGUAGUAGGCAGUCCUAGGUUUGGGGUGGAGCACCGGGUGGACCGACAGUGUGUUCGUCGGUUUAAAGUCCCCACCAUCCUCUCCUCUUUUCGCCCCCUCCCCUUCCCUCUAGACUUGAAAAAGGUGUACGUAAGUCGUUCAAACAAACGUUCACAACCCUCCCCCCAUCACACACACACACACACACAUCCACACAGGCGCGCACACACGGACUCGCGUCUCUCCCAUUCAUCUCUCGUCCAUCUGACCAACGCGCUCCGAUCGCGGGUACCGCUGUUGUCGCCCUGCCUCUCGCUUCGUUUUCCCGUUCACUCACUCCACUGUCAUCCGUUCCAAUUGAGAAGAUGUAAAUUUCAAUGAAGCUCGCCAUCCGCAGCCUCCCUGUGGCCAGCGCACGUCCCCCUGCCCCCUCCGUCCUCAUUCGGUACGUUGGCGGGCUGGUUGCGCGGUACACGGGGACACACAGGCCUAGUAACACUUUGUUGGCGUAGAAAAGACGUCUUCGACCGCCCUUGUGCUGAUUUCUGCCAUUCUCUCUCUCCCCACCCUUUGUUUUCUUCUCCUCCUCCGGUAACGUUUCUCUAUCUCAGUCUCUCUCUCUCUCUCUGCCUGUCUCGUUCUCCCCUUCAGUACACCGUGCGAGAUGAACGAUGUCAUUUAUAGGCUACUCUGUUGAAUGUCGUUUGAAUAGGCGUUUUUGUGUGUGGUGGGAUUUUUUUUGCUCUCUCUCCCCGCCGUCGAGUUGUUCCCUUCUUAUUCCUCACGUGAAACAAAUGUCGCCUAACCUCAUCCGGCGAACCGGCCGCCCCACAGUAGUGCGAUGCGGUGCUAUGGCGAUGAAACGGCAAGCGGACGAAGAUGUGCAACGGAACGCGGCGCAUUCGACUUGCGUAGUUGCGUCAACGUAAUCAUGAAUGAAUCGAGCCAUACUACCGUCGAGCGACACGAUCAACAACUCCCUGCCAGCCCAGCGCUCGACAAUCGCUCCAACGUUGCAAAUGGCCCACUGGAACGGGCGCGCGCGUUUGGAUGUGUGUGUGUGUGUGUGUGUGCUUGCACGAUGUACUGCGUGCGUGCGUGUGUGUGUGUGGAAAAUUGGAUGGCACACACUGGGUGGGGGAUGAUGCUCAUCGCAUUACCACUCGGCGCGGUCUCGAUUACUCGGGUUCUCGGGUCUUCCGGCUGAUGUAUUUUACUUUACGUGUGUUGUUGUUUUUUUUUGCCACGUUUCCGACGUUCGUUCGGAUUCGUUGGGGUUUGGUGAGAUUGUGCGCACGCACGCGGCCGCUCUGGGCUGCGGGCACUAGCGCGCACACCUACACGCGCGUCGCAACAAAGGAGGCGACACAUACGCACCCAUCAGCUUACGCGAGUACGUCCCACGCAGUCGGGCCAGUGCCUACGCCCUGGGCUCUGCUCCAUUCGCCACCUACGCGCGCCAUUCACGCCUUCCAGCCUUCCUUCCAUCGCCCCACCGAUCCACCCCGCCGCUACUAGGAGACCCACACCAGCAACACACCACACAGAGUGUGCCAACGCGGGCCCGGGAGAAAUAUGGACAUGGAAAAGAAACCCCUUUUUUCCGGGACCCCGAGACCGCAGCAAGCCGGGCGAGAGUUGCGACGCGCGAACGGAAAUGCGAACCAGCAUCGGACGGGCGGCAACGAUAGACGGAAACGGCUAGCAAGAGAACGCAAGAGCGCAAACGGCGGAACACAACAGCCAGCUCCGAAACCGAAAAGAAAGCAAGCGACAAAAUUUCGAAAGCGUACACCAAUGUGUAUGGAUUCUUCUUCUCCUCCCCUCGCGUCCCAUUUUUGUGUGCCCCCCUUGAAGCCGGUGGAGCCGCCCCGUCGCCCAUGAGCUUCGAUGGAGUGGAUUGAUAAGUAUGUGGGGUGGAAUGGAAGAUUACACCAUUCUAGUUUUCUACAGUCUAAAAUCGGUGUAGAUAAAACAUACUAGUUUUUAAAGCUCAUCUUAGGAAUGCUGGUAGCAUUUUUAAUUUCUUUUAAGAACUAUUAGACCCUCUGAUAGAUAGUUCGUGCCCGUGGAGAUGAACAUCAUUUUCGUCAAGCGAUAUUUCAACAGUACUGUAAAAAUGAGUGGUUUGUUUACUUUAUUUCGGAGGUGGAACUGUAAGUUCACCUUACAAAAACCUCCUUGGGCUAACGAAGGUCUAAUCUUCUUCGUCUUUUUUGGUUCUACAACCUCAGGGCGCUUUGUCUACCAUUGGUGACUUACUUGACUUAGUUUACCCGUAGUUGGACAUUUGUUCCUACAUGGGGGGAGGCGUUCGGGACGGGAUUCGAUACUCGUUCCUUAUUCUUGUUGGCCUAACGACCUUCAUAGCAGUGCGGACCAUACAGUGGCUAACUAGAUUGAUAGCAAGUAUUUGUAUAGCCAGUCCUCACUACGGUGGAACGGUGCGGAUGUUAUUUGAACCCUUUAUCAUGCCAUGUAAAGACAUUGCAGACGGAUAGCUCGUUUAUGAAAAUUUAUUAGCGCCUUUUUGGAAGCAUACUUUCGUUGGAAUGGAUUAACGUGUAAUUAAACUUGGAUAAAAUUUUACAUUGGCUAUUUUUUCCAUCUGGCUUAGGAAACACUGGAGAAAUUAAAUAAACUGCUCGAUUUGAAAGAAGAUUUGAAAUAACGCACAGAAACGAAGCAUCAAGGAUGAGCUGUAAAACCUUUUAGUACACUUAAUGAUGCCUUCAUCCAGUGCCUUAAAUUUUCGAACGGGAAUCACUCUGCUCUCGCCUUUAACUUAAAAUGGAUGGCUUUUUGGCUAUGGUUAGGUAGCGUUUUUAACAUGAUCUAUCGGUUAUGAAUAUUUGUACGUGUCGUUGUGUACGAAAUAAAUGUGUUUAAUCAUUA